UACGGAGGGUGCAAGCGUUAUCCGGAUUCACUGGGUUUAAAGGGAGCGCAGGCGGGCUGGUAAGUCAGUGGUGAAAUACCCGUGCUUAACAUGGGAACUGCCAUUGAUACUAUUGGUCUUGAAUAUCGUUGAGGUUUGCGGAAUGGGUCAUGUAGCGGUGAAAUGCAUAGAUAUGACCCGGAACACCUAUUGCGAAGGCAGCAGGCUAAGCGAAGAUUGACGCUGAGGCUCGAAAGCGUGGGGAUCAAGCAGG
rnacentral:rRNA from 1 species